rnacentral:rRNA from 1 species
GACGAACGCUGGCGGCGUGCCUAAUACAUGCAAGUCGAACGCACAGUUUAUACCGUAGCUUGCUACACCAUAGACUGUGAGUUGCGAACGGGUGAGUAACGCGUAGGUAACCUGCCUGGUAGCGGGGGGUAACUAUUGGAAACGAUAGCUAAUACCGCAUAAUAUUGAUUAUUGCAUGAUAAUUGAUUGAAAGAUGCUAUUGCAUCACUACCAGAUGGACCUGCGUUGUAUUAGCUAGUAGGUGAGGUAACGGCUCACCUAGGCGACGAUACAUAGCCGACCUGAGAGGGUGAUCGGCCACACUGGGACUGAGACACGGCCCAGACUCCUACGGGAGGCAGCAGUAGGGAAUCUUCGGCAAUGGACGAAAGUCUGACCGAGCAACGCCGCGUGAGUGAAGAAGGGUUUCGGAUCGUAAAGCUCUGUUGUAAGAGAAGAACGGGUGUGAGAGUGGAAAGUUCACACUGUGACGGUAGCUUACCAGAAAGGGACGGCUAACUACGUG